UAUAUCGCGUCUCAUCUAGAUGCGAUAUAUCGAUCCCUGAAUGCACUCCCCGUCAACUCCGGAACUCCACUGGAGCGAGCGGUGGUAGCGGAGUCGACGGGGGAGCCACGGAUGUCGAUCCCGUGCCGUGAGGAGGGGAGACGAAACCCCAGUUCCAGUCGCCCUUGAAUGUUAAGGAGGUUUGGAACCAGAUCUAAACCUGAACUCCCUGGCUCAUACCCAUCUCUAGUCCUAUUCAUGUGCAGAUGAAUAAGGACAGGGAAAUAAUAAUGAAUUUACAAUGCAACUCCUUGAAUCUACACUCAAAAUCAAGUUCAGCUGUUCCCUACUCCCUGAGACCUUAAUCCAGGAAAGCUUGUGCUUAAGUCCAGACUAUUCAGAAAAACACUUAAAUAUGCACUUCACUUGAGGCACAAAUUUCAGUUAUGUCCUGAAUAAGAGGCUGAAUAAAGAUGAGCUAGGAAAGAGGCAAA